UACAGAGGUCUCAAGCGUUGUUCGGAUUCAUUGGGCGUAAAGGGUGCGUAGGCGGCGCGGUAAGUCGGGUGUGAAAUCUCGGGGCUUAACUCCGAAACUGCAUUCGAUACUACCGUGCUUGAGGACUGGAGAGGAGACUUGAAUUUACGGUGUAGCGGUGAAAUGCGUAGAUAUCGUAAGGAAGACCAGUGGCGAAGGCGUGUCUCUGGACAGUUCCUGACGCUGAGGCACGAAGGCCAGGGGAGCAAACGGG
rnacentral:rRNA from 1 species